CCUACGGGAGGCAGCAGUCGAGAAUCAUUCACAAUGGGGGAAACCCUGAUGGUGCGACGCCGCGUGGGGGAAUGAAGGUCUUCGGAUUGUAAACCCCUGUCAUGUGGGAGCAAAUUAAAAAGAUAGUACCACAAGAGGAAGAGACGGCUAACUCUGUGCCAGCAGCCGCGGUAAUACAGAGGUCUCAAGCGUUGUUCGGAAUCACUGGGCGUAAAGCGUGCGUAGGCUGUUUCGUAAGUCGUGUGUGAAAGGCGCGGGCUCAACCCGCGGACGGCACAUGAUACUGGGAGACUAGAGUAAUGGAGGGGGAACCGGAAUUCUCGGUGUAGCAGUGAAAUGCGUAGAUAUCGAGAGGAACACUCGUGGCGAAGGCGGGUUACUGGACAUUAACUGACGCUGAGGCACGAAGGCCAGGGGAGCGAAAGGGAUUAGAUAACCCGAGUAGUC
rnacentral:rRNA from 1 species